AUACCUGAAACGUAACUUUAAUCUUUCCCAGUUUUCUGGCUGUGGAAUCAUGGCAGCACUUUAUGAACCAGAAGCCGAUGGUUCCUGGUUAAGCCAUCUACAUACAGAGAAAGAGACGGUGCAUAUCAGCGGUAAGGAAAAGAGAAGACUGAUGGAAUUUUGCCUAUUUCUUAGACAAAAACAUACAAACAAACAAACAAAAAAACCUUUUAAUUGUCAAAAAGUGAAAAGUUCAUUAUCCUUCCUUCCUUCCUGACAUUUAUCUUAGGCAGUCUUUGCCACAAAUGAGGCUCUCUGACCUGACACACAAAACAAUGUCUGUUUUAAAGUCCUGGCCAUGGAUUACAUAGCAGUUUUCCAUCAACGCUGCAGUGGGAUCAGAACAAAUGCCAUGAAUAUUGACAGAAGGAAGUUUUCAAAAGCCACUAUCUGAUACAGUGAUAACUCAACAAACCAAUGACCCCAAUGUCUUUAGAAACUUUUUUCUCUAAAAACUCCUGCCUCUACAAUGCUUUGGAAAGUCUCUUCUACCAGUGUGUAAUAGCCAUUUCCAAAGACAGUUGGCCAAGUGGCAGAAAGAAUUACCUGAUGCUUUCUAUAUUUACAGGAAUAAAAAGGAGUUGCUUAAAGCUCUGGUUCUAUGAAUGUGAUAUACACUGUGGUUUUCAAGAAGAAUAAGAACGGGUUUUACAACUGAUAGCCCUCAUUAUGUUUUGUUUUGUUUAAUAUCACUCAUGGAAGCCUUCACGAACUUGAACCAUUUUUCUCUAUGUCAGAAUGAAUUACACCUGAUAGGUGCAAAUUUCCUCAUGCCGAUUGAUCCAGAUGAUGCCCUUUAGUGGUGCAAAGGUAAUUCAGCUGCUUCUGUUUCAGCAAUGAGCACAACACAACUAUAACUCUGCUUUUCAAGAGGCACUUCCAACAGAAGCUGACUUCACAUAAUAAGUUGCUUUCAAAUAAAUGUGUAAGUCAUAAUGAUUGUAAAAUUCCAGUUAGCACUAGGAAGUAUGUGUGAUAGAGCCCAAGGUUGGGAACACCUCCAGUACUUACUAUGGCCUGGCUUGAUGAGGGAAUUUUUAUGUAUGUAUUUAUCUUUUAAUAUGCCUGAACUUAAGUGGAAAUCACAUGAAAUAUUUUCAUACAGAGCUGAUAUCCGCUGGGCAAGGUGGAACGCAAGGAUAUGUGGUGAAUAGAAGACUGCACUGAAGUGGCCACAUAAUGGGACAAGAUUAAUGCUCACAAAAUGUGCAAUGACACAUGCAUUACCAAGUUUUGAUCUUUAAAUCAUCAGAAAUUUACUGCCUGGAAUAUAUCUCCUCUACAGUUUUCAGUCUUUGCAUACUUGAAAUCCUUAUACAAUUGCAUAAAUCUUCAUAUCACUAGCAAUUACAUUUAUAGUGUUAAUUUAUAGAACAUAAUAUUCAGUCAGUGAAUACCAGCAAAUAGAUCAUGCCUUACUGAGCACUGUGAUGCCCUACCUAAUUUGGGAUCUUCUUCCCAUGUGAACUUGCUUGAAAAUUUAAUUGCAAAAUAUAUAUCAAGUAUGAAAAAGUUAUUUAGAAAUAUUGGUUGGCUUCUUUUAAAUGAAAGAGAAGUAGCUUUUCAUGUGAAUAUUUUCCUGUUGUUCACAAUCUCUCUUUUUGCUUUUUUCUCCAUUACUGUAAAUUGAUUAUUUUGUGCACUUUCCUUUUUUUAAUCACGGAGCCUUAUAUGGCUGCAAAUUGCUUUUCUGGAUUAAAAUUCUGUCUGGUCAAUUUGAUGUACUUUGAGUUGUAGGGCUAUUUACAUUAUGGUUCAUGUAGACUUAAGGAACCACUAUAGAAUAAGUUCUCAAUUUUAAAGGUACCAAAACUGAGGUAUAUUUAUUUUAUUUUCAGUUGUUUACACUUUUACUCAUUUCUACAGAGCUAAACACACUUAUUUUUUGCUCAAUAUUUAUUCCUGACUUCGAGUAACUCCGUAGAUUAAUGUGUUAGAGAUGUAUGUGAAAUGUUGGCAAAAAAAUCUGACAAAGGAUUUUUCAUAGGAGCGAUGGCUUCCAGUACCAAGGCUCUAAACAUGGGAUCCUGAGAUAUGGCCUAAUCUUUUACCACAGUUUGCAUGAAUUCCCUAGCAAUGCACUCCCUACACACCGUGCUGAGAAAUGAACAUAUCUGACUUCAUAGGAUGGCUGAAAGAAUGACCCAGAAGAACCUGUGCUUGGAGCUGUCACUGGAGAGCAAAGAGCAGGAGGAGUUUGGCAGAGAUCAAACAAAAUGCAAGAUAAACAAGCUCUGUUACCCAAGAGUCACAAAGCUUCUUAACAUUCCACUUGAGAUAAUUACCUACCAGGAAAAGCUGAUCUAAUCUGAUACUUUUCCCUACUCUUCCUUGUAUAUGUGGAGUACAUGACACUCUGGAUUCUGGGAACACUCUGGAUUCUGGGAAUGGCAAACAAACUCCAAGGAUGUUGAAGUUUUUCUGCUUGGGGCUGAAGCUGGUUAAAGAUAAGCUAUUUCCUGAGAAACAGAAGUACUUUCUCAGUGUUUCUUCAGUAAGAAAACCCUUGAACCGGCUUACCCCUCAAAAUUUUCUUUGACAGUGCUUAUUCCCAUUUGGAACCUCACAUCGUUUCCCUUCUUUUGUUAUUUUAUGCUCCAAAUCUGAGGUUAGGCAAUGUAACUAUUAGUUUUAAAAUCAGAAGGACCAUACACUCCGGUUUCCUGUGGAGAUCAAAAACAAUUAACUUAGUCUCUCUCAAAGAUAUCUGGUGGCAUAAUCAACAUUGAGCAGUUCCCACUGGUUUUUGCAGUGACAGUCAGACACUUUCUGAAACAAACAAACGUUAUAGACCUUUAGUCUAACUUAUUACUUUAAAGUCUGAAAUUAAUUGUAGAUAAAGGAGUAAUAUAAUUGUUUUCAGUAUCUUCCAGAUUAUUCAUUUCAUUUUGAAGUUUAUUUAUUUUGGAGCUAAACAUGAAAAUAAAAUAAAAUAAAAUAAAUAAAAUAAAAUAAAAUAAAAUAAAAUAAAAUAAAAUAAAAUAAAAUAAAAUAAAAUAAAAUAAAAUAAAAUAAAAAUGAAUCUUCCUCUCUUAACAACAUGAAAAUUUGGAAGCCAUUCUUCUGUAAGCAGAAACCACAAAAAGCUUUAUAGAUUACAUUUCUGACUUUAAAAUAAUAGCAUCUGCAUGAGCCUUGCUCAAGUUUCAGAUGUUCUGAUCAUUUGUGUUUUCAGUAUUUUUAAUUAAAGUUGUGCUUUAUAUUAA